AUCUUGCGCAAUGGGCGAAAGCCUGACGCAGCAACGCCGCGUGCGGGAUGAAGGCCCUCGGGUUGUAAACCGCUUUCAGCAGGGACGAAAAUGACGGUACCUGCAGAAGAAGCCCCGGCCAACUACGUGCCAGCAGCCGCGGUAACACGUAGGGGGCAAGCGUUGUCCGGAUUUAUUGGGCGUAAAGAGCUCGUAGGCGGUUCCGUCAGUCGGGUGUGAAAACUCUGGGCUCAACCCAGAGACGCCACCCGAUACUGCGGUGACUAGAGUCCGGUAGGGGAGCGUGGAAUUCCUGGUGUAGCGGUGAAAUGCGCAGAUAUCAGGAGGAACACCAACGGCGAAGGCAGCGCUCUGGGCCGGCACUGACGCUGAGGAGCGAAAGCGUGGGUAGCGAACAGG
rnacentral:rRNA from 1 species